CGGCGGACGGGUGAGUAACACUGGGUAACCUACCUAUAAGACUGGGACAACUUCGGGAAACCGGAGCUAAUACCGGAUAAUAUGUUGAACCGCAUGGUUCAAUAGUGAAAGAUGGUUUUGCUAUCACUUAUAGAUGGACCCGCGCCGUAUUAGCUAGUUGGUGAGGUAACGGCUCACCAAGGCAACGAUACGUAGCCGACCUGAGAGGGUGAUCGGCCACACUGGAACUGAGACACGGUCCAG
rnacentral:rRNA from 1 species